CUCCAACUUGUCAAAUACGUAUUGAUCAAAUGUCUCUUUCACAGGGUUCCAUUUUCUACCCUCGAUUUGCUGCAUGGCCCUAUAGAACGCUGAUACCAGCGCUGAGCAGAUUUAACCAGCCGGCUCGACCCUGCAAGAAGGACAACGUCGUCCGUUGCUGCAUGCACUUCCGCCACCUUGUCCACGCGUUUUACCCACGCUUGUAGGUUUUCGUCGGGUCCGCCUCCAAACUCCGGAAUCUGCUUUGCAAUCCACGACACCUUGCUCCCAGCUGAAUGUUCUUGAUCUCUUGGUGGGAGGGGUGAUGUCCCGAUCGGCUGCAGCGGCGACGACUCUGCAAGAAACUUGCGGGAGUGAGCGGAAACCUCUGACCACAAUUGCAGGCGCACGUCUUUCCUGCAUGCAAAAAUUAAAAGAAAUUGGUAGUUCUACUGCAACAAAAAUGACUCGCAGAAUUAUGAGUACCUUGUUUACUUUAAAACUAUGUAUGAAAUAUACAUUAAAAAGAAAACGAAUACGUAACGGCAAUUUUGGUGAAUUAAGAAUCUGCAAAAUAAUAGAAAGCUGUAAUUAAAAAAGUGAAUAGUAAUCAAGCAGAGGUCCAAAAAAUUAUUGAGCAGUGGAUUCGAGCCAAAGAUACAAUUUUACGUAAUGAAGAGAGAGUAGUGUUAUGUUCUAGAAACACAGUUGACGAAGCAUUAACUUCAAAAAACAAUUAACUCCCGCGCAAAGCACGUUCAAGAAACAAUUAACGACAAAGACAAUUUUUUUGUUUUGAUAAAAAUUCGUUAAAGUUAUGGCGCGUAAAAAAGUUUCAGUGUUAACCGUAAAAUUAAGGCGGAUCAAGAGAGAGACCAAUUACAGUGAUUAGUAAAAUGAUUCACUCGCUUACUAAUCACUGUGAUUGGUUAAUUUGCCUUAUUUUCUCGGCUAAAUUUUUUUAUGUGUCAUAAUGUUACUUUCUUAGCCGUUUUAUUUUAAAAACAUAGGUUUGUUUUAAAAAUAUUACCUUAAAUUGUUACGAAGGUAAUAUAAUUAAAUAUGCUUUUAUUUUAAGUAGUAAUGUUUUCCUUUU